rnacentral:misc_RNA from 1 species
GAUGAAGAACGCAGCGAAAUGCGAUAAGUAAUGUGAAUUGCAGAAUUCAGUGAAUCAUCGAAUCUUUGAACGCACAUUGCGCCCCCUGGUAUUCCGGGGGGCAUGCCUGUUCGAGCGUCAUUUCACCACUCAAGCCUCGCUUGGUAUUGGGCAACGCGGUCCGCCGCGUGCCUCAAACCGACCGGCUGGGUCUUCUGUCCCCUAAGCGUUGUGGAAACUAUUCGCUAAAGGGUGUUCGGGAGGCUACGCCGUAAAACAACCCCAUUUCUAAGGUUGACCUCGGAUCAGGUAGGGAUACCCGCUGAACUUAAGCAUAUCAAUAAGCGGAGGA